rnacentral:rRNA from 1 species
GGUUAAGCGACUAAGCGUACACGGUGGAUGCCCUGGCAGUCAGAGGCGAUGAAGGACGUGCUAAUCUGCGAUAAGCGUCGGUAAGGUGAUAUGAACCGUUAUAACCGGCGAUUUCCGAAUGGGGAAACCCAGUGUGAUUCGUCACACUAUCAUUAACUGAAUCCAUAGGUUAAUGAGGCGAACCGGGGGAACUGAAACAUCUAAGUACCCCGAGGAAAAGAAAUCAACCGAGAUUCCCCCAGUAGCGGCGAGCGAACGGGGAGCAGCCCAGAGCCUGAAUCAGUGUGUGUGUUAGUGGAAGCGUCUGGAAAGGCGCGCGAUACAGGGUGACAGCCCCGUACACAAAAAUGCACAUGCUGUGAGCUCGAUGAGUAGGGCGGGACACGUGGUAUCCUGUCUGAAUAUGGGGGGACCAUCCUCCAAGGCUAAAUACUCCUGACUGACCGAUAGUGAACCAGUACCGUGAGGGAAAGGCGAAAAGAACCCCGGCGAGGGGAGUGAAAAAGAACCUGAAACCGUGUACGUACAAGCAGUGGGAGCACGCUUAGGCGUGUGACUGCGUACCUUUUGUAUAAUGGGUCAGCGACUUAUAUUCUGUAGCAAGGUUAACCGAAUAGGGGAGCCGAAGGGAAACCGAGUCUUAACUGGGCGUUAAGUUGCAGGGUAUAGACCCGAAACCCGGUGAUCUAGCCAUGGGCAGGUUGAAGGUUGGGUAACACUAACUGGAGGACCGAACCGACUAAUGUUGAAAAAUUAGCGGAUGACUUGUGGCUGGGGGUGAAAGGCCAAUCAAACCGGGAGAUAGCUGGUUCUCCCCGAAAGCUAUUUAGGUAGCGCCUCGUGAAUUCAUCUCCGGGGGUAGAGCACUGUUUCGGCAAGGGGGUCAUCCCGACUUACCAAUCCGAUGCAAACUGCGAAUACCGGAGAAUGUUAUCACGGGAGACACACGGCGGGUGCUAACGUCCGUCGUGAAGAGGGAAACAACCCAGACCGCCAGCUAAGGUCCCAAAGUCAUGGUUAAGUGGGAAACGAUGUGGGAAGGCCCAGACAGCCAGGAUGUUGGCUUAGAAGCAGCCAUCAUUUAAAGAAAGCGUAAUAGCUCACUGGUCGAGUCGGCCUGCGCGGAAGAUGUAACGGGGCUAAACCAUGCACCGAAGCUGCGGCAGCGACGCUGAUGCGUUGUUGGGUAGGGGAGCGUUCUGUAAGCCUGUGAAGGUGUGCUGUGAGGCAUGCUGGAGGUAUCAGAAGUGCGAAUGCUGACAUAAGUAACGAUAAAGCGGGUGAAAAGCCCGCUCGCCGGAAGACCAAGGGUUCCUGUCCAACGUUAAUCGGGGCAGGGUGAGUCGACCCCUAAGGCGAGGCCGAAAGGCGUAGUCGAUGGGAAACAGGUUAAUAUUCCUGUACUUGGUGUUACUGCGAAGGGGGGACGGAGAAGGCUAUGUUGGCCGGGCGACGGUUGUCCCGGUUUAAGCGUGUAGGCUGGUUUUCCAGGCAAAUCCGGAAAAUCAAGGCUGAGGCGUGAUGACGAGGCACUACGGUGCUGAAGCAACAAAUGCCCUGCUUCCAGGAAAAGCCUCUAAGCAUCAGGUAACAUCAAAUCGUACCCCAAACCGACACAGGUGGUCAGGUAGAGAAUACCAAGGCGCUUGAGAGAACUCGGGUGAAGGAACUAGGCAAAAUGGUGCCGUAACUUCGGGAGAAGGCACGCUGAUAUGUAGGUGAAGCGACUUGCUCGUGGAGCUGAAAUCAGUCGAAGAUACCAGCUGGCUGCAACUGUUUAUUAAAAACACAGCACUGUGCAAACACGAAAGUGGACGUAUACGGUGUGACGCCUGCCCGGUGCCGGAAGGUUAAUUGAUGGGGUUAGCGCAAGCGAAGCUCUUGAUCGAAGCCCCGGUAAACGGCGGCCGUAACUAUAACGGUCCUAAGGUAGCGAAAUUCCUUGUCGGGUAAGUUCCGACCUGCACGAAUGGCGUAAUGAUGGCCAGGCUGUCUCCACCCGAGACUCAGUGAAAUUGAACUCGCUGUGAAGAUGCAGUGUACCCGCGGCAAGACGGAAAGACCCCGUGAACCUUUACUAUAGCUUGACACUGAACAUUGAGCCUUGAUGUGUAGGAUAGGUGGGAGGCUUUGAAGUGUGGACGCCAGUCUGCAUGGAGCCGACCUUGAAAUACCACCCUUUAAUGUUUGAUGUUCUAACGUGGACCCGUAAUCCGGGUUGCGGACAGUGUCUGGUGGGUAGUUUGACUGGGGCGGUCUCCUCCUAAAGAGUAACGGAGGAGCACGAAGGUUGGCUAAUCCUGGUCGGACAUCAGGAGGUUAGUGCAAUGGCAUAAGCCAGCUUGACUGCGAGCGUGACGGCGCGAGCAGGUGCGAAAGCAGGUCAUAGUGAUCCGGUGGUUCUGAAUGGAAGGGCCAUCGCUCAACGGAUAAAAGGUACUCCGGGGAUAACAGGCUGAUACCGCCCAAGAGUUCAUAUCGACGGCGGUGUUUGGCACCUCGAUGUCGGCUCAUCACAUCCUGGGGCUGAAGUAGGUCCCAAGGGUAUGGCUGUUCGCCAUUUAAAGUGGUACGCGAGCUGGGUUUAGAACGUCGUGAGACAGUUCGGUCCCUAUCUGCCGUGGGCGCUGGAGAACUGAGGGGGGCUGCUCCUAGUACGAGAGGACCGGAGUGGACGCAUCACUGGUGUUCGGGUUGUCAUGCCAAUGGCACUGCCCGGUAGCUAAAUGCGGAAGAGAUAAGUGCUGAAAGCAUCUAAGCACGAAACUUGCCCCGAGAUGAGUUCUCCCUGACUCCUUGAGAGUCCUGAAGGAACGUUGAAGACGACGACGUUGAUAGGCCGGGUGUGUAAGCGCAGCGAUGCGUUGAGCUAACCGGUACUAAUGAACCGUGAGGCUUAACCUU